AUGUUGCCUGGAACUCUGUGUUUACUGCUCACAGCUGCAGCACUUCUGACUAGACUUUGUCGUGGCGAUUCUGUCUCACAAACACCGGCUGCAAUCACAGUGAAUGAGGGGGAUGAUGUCCAGUUGUUCUGUAAUUACACUACAAGAGACAGCGAUCCUCGCUUAUUCUGGUACCGUCAACCUCCCAAUGGGUUCAUGGAGUUUCUGCUCCUGAAAAGCAAAUAUAGCGAGAAAACGGCGAAUUUUCUCCGGGACCGGGUCUCCUCGGAUUUUGAUCAUGGAAACCAUGCUAUCGAGCUGAAAAUGUUGAAAGCAGAACUAACAGACUCCGCAAUGUAUUACUGUGCACUGAGACCCACAGAGACUCAGAGGUGGCUGACGCUGUACAAAACCUCUAAGAACGUCACUGAACAUAGGAGUGUAUUAAGCAAACAGCAAGAUCAGGUGGAUGGCGUCCCCAGUUGUUAUGAUAUUCUGUCAUGUCUUGCAGCGGUUGUCAUGACAGAGAUGCAUAAACAGACCAUUGUUCACAGCAAAACUCCCAGCCUUCAAGACGACAUUGAACUCAAGAGCAAACAUCCCAACAAAGAGCAAGGCAUGUAA